UGGGGAAUAUUGGACAAUGGGCGAAAGCCUGAUCCAGCCAUGCCGCGUGUGUGAAGAAGGCCUUUUGGUUGUAAAGCACUUUAAGUGGGGAGGAAAAGCUUAUGGUUAAUACCCAUAAGCCCUGACGUUACCCACAGAAUAAGCACCGGCUAACUCUGUGCCAGCAGCCGCGGUAAUACAGAGGGUGCAAGCGUUAAUCGGAAUUACUGGGCGUAAAGCGAGCGUAGGUGGUCAUUUAAGUCAGAUGUGAAAGCCCCGGGCUUAACCUGGGAACUGCAUCUGAUACUGGAUGACUAGAGUAGGUGAGAGGGAAGUAGAAUUCCAGGUGUAGCGGUGAAAUGCGUAGAGAUCUGGAGGAAUACCGAUGGCGAAGGCAGCUUCCUGGCAUCAUACUGACACUGAGGUUCGAAAGCGUGGGUAGCAAACAGGAUUAGAUACCCUGGUAGUCCACGCCGUAAACGAUGUCUACCAGUCGUUGGGUCUUUUAAAGACUUAGUGACGCAGUUAACGCAAUAAGUAGACCGCCUGGGGAGUACGGCCGCAAGGUUA
rnacentral:rRNA from 1 species